rnacentral:rRNA from 1 species
UGGGGAAUUUUGGACAAUGGGCGAAAGCCUGAUCCAGCAAUGCCGCGUGUGUGAAGAAGGCCUUCGGGUUGUAAAGCACUUUUGUCCGGAAAGAAAUCCUUGGCUCUAAUACAGUCGGGGGAUGACGGUACCGGAAGAAUAAGCACCGGCUAACUACGUGCCAGCAGCCGCGGUAAUACGUAGGGUGCAAGCGUUAAUCGGAAUUACUGGGCGUAAAGCGUGCGCAGGCGGUUUGCUAAGACCGAUGUGAAAUCCCCGGGCUCAACCUGGGAACUGCAUUGGUGACUGGCAGGCUAGAGUAUGGCAGAGGGGGGUAGAAUUCCACGUGUAGCAGUGAAAUGCGUAGAGAUGUGGAGGAAUACCGAUGGCGAAGGCAGCCCCCUGGGCCAAUACUGACGCUCAUGCACGAAAGCGUGGGGAGCAAACAGGAUUAGAUACCCUGGUAGUCCACGCCCCCAAAACGAUGUCAACUAGUUGUUGGGGAUUCAUUUUCCUUAGUAACGUAGCUAACGCGUGAAGUUGACCGCCUGGGGAGUACGGUCGCAAGAUUAAAACUUAAAUGAAUUGACGGGGUCAUAGCUGUUUCCU